ACACCUGGGGCAGGCGCCGGUGCCCGCAAGGGCUGAAACGGGAACGCGCCCGGGCCGCAAUGGCAGUCCGGGGCGCGGCUGCUCCCGCAACUGUUGGCAGCGAGCCGGGUCCAACGAGCCAUUGCCUCGCCACCGGGGUGAGAAGGCGGACACCGGCGAGGACCUGCGAGCCAGGAAACCGGCCGGCGUCGAGAAUGCGCGC
rnacentral:ncRNA from 1 species